GUCGAGCGGACAGAUGGGAGCUUGCUCCCUGAUGUUAGCGGCGGACGGGUGAGUAACACGUGGGUAACCUGCCUGUAAGACUGGGAUAACUCCGGGAAACCGGGGCUAAUACCGGAUGCUUGUUUGAACCGCAUGGUUCAGACAUAAAAGGUGGCUUCGGCUACCACUUACAGAUGGACCCGCGGCGCAUUAGCUAGUUGGUGAGGUAACGGCUCACCAAGGCGACGAUGCGUAGCCGACCUGAGAGGGUGAUCGGCCACACUGGGACUGAGACACGGCCCAGACUCCUACGGGAGGCAGCAGUAGGGAAUCUUCCGCAAUGGACGAAAGUCUGACGGAGCAACGCCGCGUGAGUGAUGAAGGUUUUCGGAUCGUAAAGCUCUGUUGUUAGGGAAGAACAAGUGCCGUUCAAAUAGGGCGGCACCUUGACGGUACCUAACCAGAAAGCCACGGCUAACUACGUGCCAGCAGCCGCGGUAAUACGUAGGUGGCAAGCGUUGUCCGGAAUUAUUGGGCGUAAAGGGCUCGCAGGCGGUUUCUUAAGUCUGAUGUGAAAGCCCCCGGCUCAACCGGGGAGGGUCAUUGGAAACUGGGGAACUUGAGUGCAGAAGAGGAGAGUGGAAUUCCACGUGUAGCGGUGAAAUGCGUAGAGAUGUGGAGGAACACCAGUGGCGAAGGCGACUCUCUGGUCUGUAACUGACGCUGAGGAGCGAAAGCGUGGGGAGCGAACAGGAUUAGAUACCCUGGUAGUCCACGCCGUAAACGAUGAGUGCUAAGUGUUAGGGGGUUUCCGCCCCUUAGUGCUGCAGCUAACGCAUUAAGCACUCCGCCUGGGGAGUACGGUCGCAAGACUGAAACUCAAAGGAAUUGACGGGGGCCCGCACAAGCGGUGGAGCAUGUGGUUUAAUUCGAAGCAACGCGAAGAACCUUACCAGGUCUUGACAUCCUCUGACAAUCCUAGAGAUAGGACGUCCCCUUCGGGGGCAGAGUGACAGGUGGUGCAUGGUUGUCGUCAGCUCGUGUCGUGAGAUGUUGGGUUAAGUCCCGCAACGAGCGCAACCCUUGAUCUUAGUUGCCAGCAUUCAGUUGGGCACUCUAAGGUGACUGCCGGUGACAAACCGGAGGAAGGUGGGGAUGACGUCAAAUCAUCAUGCCCCUUAUGACCUGGG
rnacentral:rRNA from 1 species